CUACUCCUCAUGCUAUGGGAGCUGGCCAUAUCCAAAGUCAUUACCUUAGUCACAAGGAGGGUCAUACCGAGAGCAGUGCUAGCGGCUGAAGUGAAGUCGUAACGAGGUAGCCGUAUUGGAAGGUGCGGCUG
rnacentral:ncRNA from 1 species